GAUGAACGCUAGCGGCAGGCCUAAUACAUGCAAGUCGAACGCAGGUAGCAAUACCUGAGUGGCGCACGGGUGCGUAACGCGUAUGCAACCUACCUUGAACUGGGGGAUAGCCUUCCGAAAGGGAGAUUAAUACCGCAUAAGACAACUUGAGGGCAUCUGAGGGUUGUUAAAGAUUUAUCGGUUCAAGAUGGGCAUGCGUGCCAUUAGCUAGUUGGCGGGGUAAGGGCCCACCAAGGCGACGAUGGCUAGGGGGUCUGAGAGGAUGGUCCCCCACACUGGCACUGAGAUACGGGCCAGACUCCUACGGGAGGCAGCAGUAGGGAAUAUUGGGCAAUGGGCGGAAGCUUGACCCAGCCAUGCCGCGUGCAGGAUGAAGGCCUUCUGGGUUGUAAACUGCUUUUAUCAGGGAAGAAAACGCCCAUGCGUGGGGAACUGACGGUACCUGAGGAAUAAGCACCGGCUAACUCCGUGCCAGCCGCCGCCGUAACAC
rnacentral:rRNA from 1 species